GCCGGGCGUGGUGGCUCACGCCUGUAAUCCCAGCACUUUGGGAGGCUGAGGUGGGUGGAUCACUUGAGGUCGGGAGAUCGAGACCAGCCUGACCAACAUGGAGAAACCCCAUCUCUA
rnacentral:SRP_RNA from 2 species